AAGACUAUACUUUCAGGGAUCAUUUCUAUAGUUCUUGACUUGAGAAAUGUGUUUCUAAAGUGUUUGGUCUCGCUAACCCAUGAUGAUGAGUCGUGAUAUUCUUUUCUGAGCGUGAAGCUGACAGAGAUUAAUGAUUUACUUCAUAUGCUCUCUGUCAUUGAUGACCGUUCUUUGCUUCUUCAUGGAGCAUUGAGGAAGAGAAUAUGAUCAGAGUGGUU
ensembl:snoRNA